rnacentral:rRNA from 1 species
GACGAACGCUGGCGGCGUGCUUAACACAUGCAAGUCGAACGCUGAAGCCCAGCUUGCUGGGUGGAUGAGUGGCGAACGGGUGAGUAACACGUGAGUAACCUGCCCCCUUCUUUGGGAUAACGCCCGGAAACGGGUGCUAAUACUGGAUAUUCACUGGCCUUCGCAUGGGGGUUGGUGGAAAGGUUUUUCUGGUGGGGGAUGGGCUCGCGGCCUAUCAGCUUGUUGGUGGGGUGAUGGCCUACCAAGGCUUUGACGGGUAGCCGGCCUGAGAGGGUGACCGGUCACAUUGGGACUGAGAUACGGCCCAGACUCCUACGGGAGGCAGCAGUGGGGAAUAUUGCACAAUGGGCGAAAGCCUGAUGCAGCGACGCCGCGUGAGGGAUGACGGCCUUCGGGUUGUAAACCUCUUUCGCUCAUGGUCAAGCCGCAGCUUUGGGUUGUGGUGAGGGUAGUGGGUAAAGAAGCGCCGGCUAACUACGUGCCAGCAGCCGCGGUAAUACGUAGGGCGCGAGCGUUGUCCGGAAUUAUUGGGCGUAAAGGGCUUGUAGGCGGUUGGUCGCGUCUGCCGUGAAAUCCUCUGGCUUAACUGGGGGCGUGCGGUGGGUACGGGCUGACUUGAGUGCGGUAGGGGAGACUGGAACUCCUGGUGUAGCGGUGGAAUGCGCAGAUAUCAGGAAGAACACCGGUGGCGAAGGCGGGUCUCUGGGCCGUUACUGACGCUGAGGAGCGAAAGCGUGGGGAGCGAACAGG